rnacentral:rRNA from 1 species
CAGGCUUAACACAUGCAAGUCGAGGGGCAGCAUGGUCUUAGCUUGCUAAGGCCGAUGGCGACCGGCGCACGGGUGAGUAACACGUAUCCAACCUGCCGUCUACUCUUGGACAGCCUUCUGAAAGGAAGAUUAAUACAAGAUGGCAUCAUGAGUCCGCAUGUUCACAUGAUUAAAGGUAUUCCGGUAGACGAUGGGGAUGCGUUCCAUUAGAUAGUAGGCGGGGUAACGGCCCACCUAGUCUUCGAUGGAUAGGGGUUCUGAGAGGAAGGUCCCCCACAUUGGAACUGAGACACGGUCCAAACUCCUACGGGAGGCAGCAGUGAGGAAUAUUGGUCAAUGGGCGAGAGCCUGAACCAGCCAAGUAGCGUGAAGGAUGACUGCCCUAUGGGUUGUAAACUUCUUUUAUAAAGGAAUAAAGUCGGGUAUGCAUACCCGUUUGCAUGUACUUUAUGAAUAAGGAUCGGCUAACUCCGUGCCAGCAGCCGCGGUAAUACGGAGGAUCCGAGCGUUAUCCGGAUUUAUUGGGUUUAAAGGGAGCGUAGAUGGAUGUUUAAGUCAGUUGUGAAAGUUUGCGGCUCAACCGUAAAAUUGCAGUUGAUACUGGAUAUCUUGAGUGCAGUUGAGGCAGGCGGAAUUCGUGGUGUAGCGGUGAAAUGCUUAGAUAUCACGAAGAACUCCGAUUGCGAAGGCAGCCUGCUAAGCUGCAACUGACAUUGAGGCUCGAAAGUGUGGGUAUCAAACAGGAUUAGAUACCCUGGUAGUCCACACGGUAAACGAUGAAUACUCGCUGUUUGCGAUAUACGGCAAGCGGCCAAGCGAAAGCGUUAAGUAUUCCACCUGGGGAGUACGCCGGCAACGGUGAAACUCAAAGGAAUUGACGGGGGCCCGCACAAGCGGAGGAACAUGUGGUUUAAUUCGAUGAUACGCGAGGAACCUUACCCGGGCUUAAAUUGCAGAUGAAUUACGGUGAAAGCCGUAAGCCGCAAGGCAUCUGUGAAGGUGCUACAUGGUUGUCGUCAGCUCGUGCCGUGAGGUGUCGGCUUAAGUGCCAUAACGAGCGCAACCCUUGUCGUCAGUUACUAACAGGUUCCGCUGAGGACUCUGACAAGACUGCCAUCGUAAGAUGUGAGGAAGGUGGGGAUGACGUCAAAUCAGCACGGCCCUUACGUCCGGGGCUACACACGUGUUACAAUGGGGGGUACAGAGGGCCGCUACCACGCGAGUGGAUGCCAAUCCCAAAAACCUCUCUCAGUUCGGACUGGAGUCUGCAACCCGACUCCACGAAGCUGGAUUCGCUAGUAAUCGCGCAUCAGCCACGGCGCGGUGAAUACGUUCCCGGGCCUUGUACACACCGCCCGUCAAGCCAUGGGAGCCGGGGGUACCUGAAGUGCGUAACCGCGAGGAGCGCCCUAGGGUAAAACUGGUGACUG